GGGGUAUAACUCAGUUGUAGAGCAUUUGACUGAAGAUCAAGAGGACACCGGUUCAAACCCGGAUGCUGCCU